CCUACGGGAGGCAGCAGUGGGGAAUAUUGGACAAUGGGGGAAACCCUUAUCCAGCGACGCCGCGUGAGGGAAGAAGGUUUUCGGAUUGUAAACCUCUGUCAGUGGGGACGAUAAUGACGGUACCCACGGAGGAAGCCACGGCUAACUACGUGCCAGCAGCCGCGGUAAUACGUAGGUGGCAAGCGUUGUCCGGAAUUACUGGGUGUAAAGGGAGCGUAGGCGGGAUGUCAAGUCAGAAGUGAAAAUUAUGGGCUCAACUCAUAACCUGCUUUUGAAACUGAUAUUCUUGAGUGAAGUAGAGGCAAGCGGAAUUCCUAGUGUAGCGGUGAAAUGCGUAGAUAUUAGGAGGAACACCAGUGGCGAAGGCGGCUUGCUGGGCUUUUACUGACGCUGAGGCUCGAAAGCGUGGGGAGCAAACAGGAUUAGAUACCCCUGUAGU
rnacentral:rRNA from 1 species